rnacentral:rRNA from 1 species
GAUGAUCCGGUGCUUGCACCGGGGAUUAGUGGCGAACGGGUGAGUAACACGUGAGUAACCUGCCCUUGACUCUGGGAUAAGCCUGGGAAACCGGGUCUAAUACCGGAUAUGACUGCCGGCCGCAUGGCCUGGUGGUGGAAAGCUUUAUUGCGGUUUUGGAUGGACUCGCGGCCUAUCAGCUUGUUGGCGGGGUAAUGGCCCACCAAGGCGACGACGGGUAGCCGGCCUGAGAGGGUGACCGGCCACACUGGGACUGAGACACGGCCCAGACUCCUACGGGAGGCAGCAGUGGGGAAUAUUGCACAAUGGGCGCAAGCCUGAUGCAGCGACGCCGCGUGAGGGAUGAAGGCCUUCGGGUUGUAAACCUCUUUCAGUAGGGAAGAAGCGAAAGUGACGGUACCUGCAGAAGAAGCGCCGGCUAACUACGUGCCAGCAGCCGCGGUAAUACGUAGGGCGCAAGCGUUAUCCGGAAUUAUUGGGCGUAAAGAGCUCGUAGGCGGUUUGUCGCGUCUGCCGUGAAAGUCCGGGGCUUAACUCCGGAUCUGCGGUGGGUACGGGCAGACUAGAGUGCAGUAGGGGAGACUGGAAUUCCUGGUGUAGCGGUGAAAUGCGCAGAUAUCAGGAGGAACACCGAUGGCGAAGGCAGGUCUCUGGGCUGUAACUGACGCUGAGGAGCGAAAGCAUGGGGAGCGAACAGGAUUAGAUACCCUGGUAGUCCAUGCCGUAAACGUUGGGCACUAGGUGUGG